UUUUAACUGUGGCGCUGCUCCUUUUCGCUUUUCCCUCUCCCUCUCGAACUCUCCCUCCCUUUUUUUCGCAAUUUACAGAACCUCAUGCCAUAUCCAUGGCUUCCACAACUAUGGUUGCUUCCCCUUCCAACGAUAGUUUCCGCAUGAAUCCUCUUCCGAUCAUAGAUCUCCGUCUCCUCUCUCAAUCCGAGCUCUAUUGUCUUUCCCGUUUCUCCUCAUCCUCAUCAUCUUCUUCUUCAACCUCCCAAUCCAACAACGAAGACGACGUUCUAAUCCCCAAAAUUGAUCGAUCUGUCUUCAAUGAGUCCGCUGGUAGCCGUAAACAAACCUAUUCUCGUCUCCGUUUAGCCCCUCGCAAACCCCAAUUUUCUUCCUCUUCAUCCUCCUCCACAAUUCGCCCUCAAUCCCCUGACCGCCUUGAUACAGAGAGCGCUCAAAUUGUUACUCUAUUUAAGCAACUCUUUGUUGGAGAUCCUCAUUGUGCCGUCAACGAUAGCUACGGCGACGGAGAUGAGGACCUGGUACUUGUUAACCAUAUUUACGACGAAUCGGUACCUGAUUCUUCCUACGCUAUUUUCCAAAGUAUUCCUGUUGAUAUUAUUGAUAGCAGUUACGCCCCGAUUAAGCGGCGGAGAGGUCGACCGCGGAAGGAUAGCAAUCGGUUUGCUCAGAGUAAUGGAAAUGCGGCUCCGGAAUUCAAAAGCGGAUGCGAUAAACCGGCGGCGGCGGCGGCGGAGGAGGAGGAGGAGGAGAUCGUAAUGGUAAUGCUGUGAACCUGGUCGCUUCGACCUUCCUGUAGAUUGAGGUUGGUUACACUGAUUGAUCGACCACGUUGACAAUUGAUCAAUUUUGGUUGACACCAACGUGAAAAUGGGGAAAAAAAAGUCAAAGAAAAGAGAAAGAAGAAAGGAAAAGAGAAGGGGAUAAUAAAUGGAGGAAACGAGCUACCAAAGAAGAUUGGAAAAAAAAAGGGAAAGAAUUUGAGAUGAAAAGGGAAAAGGUUUUGGAUAUACGUGGAGGUUAUACUAAUUGGUUGUAUUCUUUCUACAAAAGAUGGAUAUGUGUUGGAACCGGCUACCCUCCGACAGACAGGAUUUCAUGGCAGCGAACAGUCUCGAACGGCAGUCGUAACCUCCUUAAAACCAAUUAUAUAACUGGAUGCCGAAGCCAUCAAUGGUUUAUAAUAUCUAUUGCUACAUUCUCAUCAACCUUACAGCCACGUUCAAUUCAUGGUGACAAGCUUCUUUGGUCUCUCUAUGCCUCAAAAGUUUAGCAACACCAAAACUUCUAGAACCCAAAUUCUCAAAAACUUCGUACAUGUCCAUUUUUGGAUAGACCCACAAGAAGAAAAAAGAACAAAACUGAAUAGCAAAAUAGUCGGUGAGAGAUUUUUCUUACCAUAUAACCCAAUUUCAUCCUCUUGAGGUUACAUUUACUUGAUGACUAAUGCAUGGAAGACUUGACCGAUGCCCUUCUUUUUUUUUUUUCACACCACGCCACGCCCAACUAGAUAGACGGUGGUGGUGCACGUGUGGGAUGUCCACCAUACCUAUAUUUACCUAUCUCCUCACUCCCUUUAAAACAUGGGUACUCCUUGGGGCUCAAACCCAUAACUCAAGGUGAAAGUAUAAGAAAGAGACUCCUAUUUCAAAAUUAAGCAACAUGAGAUUCUCGGCCAAAGUUUUUUUUUUUCUUUUUUUUUUAAAACUUGAAUUUUCGCCAACAAUAUGUUAUUACUAGAGCUGAAAUCCAAGAUGGAUGCUUCUGACAUUUCCCCUCCUUUCCUUUUUCACCCCGUGGUUGUUUUUAUUUAAAUUGGGACCAGAUAAUAGUAUAUGAUGUGAUUUAUAUACCACUACGGAGGAAGAAUGUUCUAAUUGGAAGUUAAUGGUAGGAGAAUUUCAAAAGAAUUCAGGUUUGCAUAUUAAUCGUCUUAAGUUCUCUAUAGCUAGCAUUAACAUAUCGAAUAGAAUAACUGCGAGGAGGGUUGUUGUACUAGGUCAUAAAUAAGAAAAGCAUCUUCAAUUAUUCUGGUAUCCCUUUUGAUAGACAUCCUACUCUGCAUUUUGGGAAUGUGUUAUAGAGUAGAUGUCUCGUAUUUCUCGAAAGAGCAAUGGGAUUUGGUAUGAAACUUAUGAGAUCGAUGUAAGUAUUUGCCUGGUGAACUAAAUGGAAGAAGACUUGGAUUUCCAAGGGAGAGAGAAUAGCUAUUAGAGCCCAAUUAGUGUUGUCAAAACAUCCCAUCUGUUAUUUGCCUCUCUCCAAAAUUAUAGCUGAAUGAAGUAAGAACAUGAAUAAGAUUCCUUAUUAUGACUAUUGUGAUAAUUAUGAAUGUUUUGGCUAGCAUACAUACACCUUGUCUUUUUUCUGCAAGGUAAUGCUUGACUCUAAUUUCAUCCAAAACUUUUGAUAUAGUUUGAAGUCUUGACCUUCAAAAGCAUCUUGGCUUUCAGCUGGACCUCAUCCAUGGUUAUUAGCAUCAGGAAGAUAAUAAGAGGCUUCUGCAUGGGAUGGGUCUUAUUUUGGUUACGAAGGCAACUUUUUAUUAUUAAGUAAGGAGCUUUUUCCCUCAAGAGUUUGGGGACUUGCUAGCAAAUGGAUUUAGAUGUCCGUGCUAUGAAAGGAAACUCUUUAGAGAGAUGUUAUGAAAGCAUUUGCAGAUAAUAUCUAUGGUGUUCAUUGGUAUACUAGAAAUGAUAACUGAGCCUGUCAUUGAGAGUCAGCUGCCUCAUGUUGCUUAAAGAAUUAGUUGCUGUUAAUUGCUCAAUUUGGUGGAUUAAUCCGUUUUGUCGCAAGCAUAUGAUUACAAAAAUGAGUGUCUUUGAGACUUGAGUUCUGCUUCCUCUAGGAUCCAUGGCAUUGAUGCCAUUACUUGUUUUUGCAUGUACCGUGCGUAGGAUUUAAACUUUAUUGAUAUUGGUUAACCAACUCUAUUGUACAUGAACAUCACCACAAUAUUAUUUAGACACUUUUUUCUAUAUUAUAAGAAUACCUCUACACAUCAAGACACUCAUGACAACUUUUUCCUUCUAUCUAGUAACAUUUUAACGAAUUGAUUUAUUAGUGAAAAAGUCGAAAGCACUUCCACAAUGGUUACCACAAGCAAAAAUGGUCACCUAGGAUAACAUGAACCCAUUCACAGUUUGGUUAGUUUUUCAGGGUACUUCGUAAUUUAUAAUGUGGUGGAAUGAAGCUGUUCAAAGACUCUCUUGUGUCAUCAAGACCGGUUACUACUAAACCCUAAUGUGGAGGAAUGAAACUGUUCAAGAUUCUCAAGAUUCUCUGUGACGAAGACUUUUUGUAAUUAUCAAAAAGGAUCAUAGUUCUUUAGGAGCUUAGGCAGACGUGGGCAGAGAUGUAGACUAAGCUGAAGUGUAUAGAUUUUUUUAGAUAAUUGGUUAUGAUUAACCUAGCUGAUGAAGGAGAAUGAUCUCGAAUCUUUUGCUAGACAGAAUCGGCUGGAAACUUUUGCUUUCUCGCUAGAGAGAGACAAGAUCUAUGCACGAGUCGAUGCUGAUAUGGCUCUUCUUUACACACCUUGCUGCUUUAUUGGAGUUAUUAAGAUUACAAUUUUGUCACUCAAGUAGGAAAGAUACUGUGCAUAGUUAGUAAUCUUAUCAAAGUUAUUUUUAGUUGGACUAUGUCUUUGCUUGAACUACUCAAGUGUUAGAGCAAAAUUUGACGGUGCAAUUGUAACAAGAUUUAUACUCGAAAUAUUAUUCCCAGUUGCUUGAAUUGAUUUCAUUGGAAACUCA